CGGUAAUACGGAGGAUGCAAGCGUUAUCCGGAUUUAUUGGGUUUAAAGGGAGCGCAGACGGGUCGUUAAGUCAGCUGUGAAAGUUUGGGGCUCAACCUUAAAAUUGCAGUUGAUACUGGCGUCCUUGAGUGCGGU
rnacentral:rRNA from 1 species